CUGGUCCUGAAACACGGUGCAGUGCUCGAGCGGAUUGUGGCGUGUCGGGUGCCCGGGUUCCGGGGGCCGGCGUCUGCAGCCCUCAGUCGUUCGCCGAUGCCCCGACGAGGAGGAACACCGAGUUGUCCUAGGGCAAGGUCAUCCCUCGUGCCUCGAAUCACCCCGAGAAUCGCGAGGCUCGCUCGGUACUCGCGUUCUCGCUGACUUUUCAGUGCUUUCAGUUUCGCCUCGGCUACUCGCCGCGUUCGCGUACGAAGAAACACCGUUCUCCGCUCUGUCGUUCGUUCUUCCCGCGGACACAAAUUAAGGAUAAUAGCGUUACCGAUCUAUCGUCAUCCUCGAGGAGGUCCGCGACCAAUCGGACGGAUCGAUAACCGGAAGAGAAGAACAGCUCUCGGGAAUCUAAGGACCAAGUAACAAGGUGAUUUUUCAACGGAGUUUAAGUGACUCGGGGUUAAUUGCCGAUCGAUGACGUUGGUGACGGUAGAAGAAUGUUAACACGAACGAAGAGCGAGAGGAGUAGUCGGUGUCCAGGUGUCCAGGUCCGUUUCGGUGUUUCCGUGGUGUACAGCAUAUCCGGAGAUCGUCGACUGACUGACAAGUUCGAUUCGGAGCGGUCGUGUGUUGUGACGCGUGACGAAGAUAAAUCGCGUUUUCACCGUAUCGGCAAAGUGGACUAUUAGAGGCUGCACACACGCGGGAUCGAGAAAGACAAGAGAGAGAGAGAGAGAGAGAAAGAGAGAAGGACGAGGGGGGCAGACGAGAAAGGGAGAGAAAUUGUUCAGCACGGUAUGAGAGAGAAGAGGAUAGAGGCGGAGGCUUAAAAAGAAGGAACGAGGCCGGGGUAGAAUGAGUAACAGAGAGGAAAGGAAAAAAGGAAGAAUCGGCAACUUCCUGCGAGUCGAGAACGUGAGAGAAAGGCCGCUUCGGAGCGUGUAUAGCUCGAUCGAUAAACAAACGUUCGUCGAAGCGUAAUAUCGAGGUGUGGACCCUCGUGCACCCUGGCCAAUUGGAAUGUCCAUUUGCUUGGAAGCUGUUGCUUGUCAUCUUAUCUAUUUUCAAGGAUCCAACCUAUCCUUAUCUUUUUUUUUUUUCUUUUUAUUUUCCUUCUCCUUCGAUCGCGAGUCCCUAUAUAAUUAACUGCUCGGAGAGAAAGAGGAGCAUCACUCAAAGGGUUGCUCGCAAGCGGCUUAUUUUCACGUCAGGAAAGCUGGCUUACCGGAAAUCAGCGUAUCGGGCAUGAACGAGAAGGUUCUCUCUCAACGUCCAGUCAAAGACCGCUUGACAGGUGUUGAGCUUCCGGUUCCACGACGCGGAGUUCAUCGAGCGUUCUGCUACUCGACGAACGUAUAAUGCGGUUUUAAUGCCAAAGGUGUCGGGUUUCAUAAACGAACCGGUACGCGCGCAGCCAGCCUCGCGCGAGUUUGUCACGGGUCAUUCACGUCGCGGGUUACGAAAAACGACCGGUUGAAAUGAGUGUACGGCACGUGGGCGAUCGGCGUAGUCGUGUUUCCUUUUUCUUCCUCGUUUUCUUCCAUUCUGUUUGGAGACAGAGGAUAACGGAGAAAGGAACAUGGAGUAAAAUCGUUCAUCUUCGCAGGUGCCUAGUUAAGUGUAAUAAUAAUAAAAAUGAAUUGAUACGUGAAAUGGUUACCGAUUCAAUUUUCGAGGGAUUUUUCUUAACAAUUGUUAAAUGGAAUUUAGUUGGAAAGACGAUCAUUGGAAACUGUGUGUACACGUUUUGUUGAACGACAAGUGAUGAGUUCCUCGGUGGAAGUUUGAGACUGCGGUGACUUCGAUGCCGCGCAUAGGACGGAUUUCCGGCGCCAUUGAAAUCAGUUAGUAGUGUAUCCCUGAACUCCCUCCCAUCCCAAACAUGGCUUCUGGAUCCGUCCCUGAUAAGUGUCGAGCAAGAUAGUUUGCGCGGAACAAGGGAAAUGUAGCAACAGCAGCAAACACGAACAAGAACGAGAAGUAGAGAUGUUCAAGACACGCUUCUAUAUUGCAUCAAAUUGCCGGACGAUCUCAUAACAACACGGAGAAUCGGUAUAUCCCGAUAAGUCUAUACAGGGUGAGACCAUGGUUAAUAAUAACUCUAGAGAAUAGAGACAAUGGUAGAAAGAAAUUUUCU